CUCGAGCAAGGUACUGAACAUUGCGAUUCUUGACUUGAUGUGUUCUGUCCAUUUGUAAUCUGUACAAUUGAUGUCUAUCUCAGGAAAGUUGAAUGGAAUUGAUGCAUAUCUCUGUUGAUGAAACAAAUCAGUACUUACUUCUGUUCUGAUUAUAGAAUUGAACAUGAAGAGGAAUGGGACAGUCCCCUUUCAUCAAGAAAAUUGAGUCAGAGAGUACAAGAUAAACCAUUACACUUUUAUGAUGCCCACCAUUUUGCAUCAAGAGUCAGGACUCAUCCUCAGGUACCUAAAGCAUACAAAGAAACAACACGGAACACUACUGCAACUACAAAGGAUCAGGAGUCAUCCUCAGCUCGUUCGCAUAACAGUCGACCUGCCGCAAGUUCCAAAAGGUUGAAUCCACAAAAGAUUCAACCUCGAGCACAAGCAGACCUCAGAGUGAAUCAGCUACAGGGGGUAAGUAAAUCCUCCCCUCUGGUGAAGUCUGAUUGAAAAAUCAAAAAAUAAUUCGUAUUUCUGUGCCAGCCCUCUGUGUGGAUUCAAAAAACUGUGAAAUGAAAAUUUUAAUUUUUUAAGCAUAUUUGUUCAAAUUGCGAUAUGUGUACAUAACAUCUAUAAAUGAACAUAUAGCAAGUUUUCUAUUCUUUACAUAUAUCUAAGCAUUGCAGCUUAGCUGGUGGAAUCAUGAACCCAAUGUUUCAUUUGGAGUAAUGCGGUGUAUAUAUAUGCCAAUAACGCGUAGACAGGUGACCUAUUACACACUUGAAAUGAAAAAGAUUCGUUUUUAGGAUAGUAGUACUUCCAGGAUAACCAGCUGAAAGGGGUCCCGAAAAUAUAAGACAUUUUAAUGCAAAUGUGACCAAGCAACUUUCACUCACUAUGCUGUGUGAGGUUCUUGGUCAGGGGUCAGGACUGAAGGAUCUCCUCGAUCUGCUGCACAACAUAAGACAUUGUAGGCCUUGAGUCAACAUAUUGACUGCAACAGUUCAUGGCGACAUGCAGAAUUCGCACCAUGCACUCUUCUACCCCGUCUUUCUGCUCUUGCCCUCGGAGCUCCACGUCAAACACCUCCGCCGUCCAAUCAACGGAAUAAACCCACCGUGGUAAAUCUACUCCCUGCUUAUUCGUUAUGCUAUUUGUUGGGGCCUUGCGUGUGAGAAGCUCCAGUAGUAGGAUGCCGAAACUGUACACGUCGGCUUCCUGGGAGAACAACUUAUUGUCGAUGAGCUCAGGCGCGCGGUAGCCGGAGGCAUUGGGAUACGUGCCAAGUGUUAUCAGGCCGUGCUCCGACACACAUGCAUCGUGGGUACCCGUGAGCAGGAUGUUGGAAGACUUGAUGUUGCCAUGGCAGCUCGAUGGUCCAGCUAAAUGGAUAGCCGCCACACCGCGCGCAGCAGCAAGUGAGAUGGCUGACCGCUGCUCCCAGUUCAGUGGAGAUGGACCGGAGUCUCUGUCACCUAGAUUAACACAUCAUGAAUCAGUGAUGCAUAAAAAACAUUACAAAUUGUGAAGGUAAGCAUAUGAUAGCAUUGUAACAUUACCGUGGAGCACUUUUGCUAGGCUACCCAUGGGGAUGAUAUCAUACACUAGCAACUUCUCAUCCGUGCUACAGUAAUACCAUUGCAGUGGCACAAUGUGCUUGUUCUCGAUGGCACCUAUCAGCGUGAUAUGCUGCUCAAAUUCCGCAUUCGGCAACUCCACACCCGUCAGCCUCUUGGUCACUACCUCAUAUCCACUUUCAAGAGUCGCUUUGUAUGUUGUCCCGACUGUACCCUUGCCCAGAACUUCAGCCGAUGCCCGAAGCAGGUCCUCCAUCUCAAACAAUUGGCCUGUCACUGUCGAUCUAAUGAUAAAAGUUCCCACAUUUCGGGUACUGCUACUGCUUCCCUCGGAUAGAUCUUUGGCUGAAGCCACACUUCCUGUUUUUGGGGUACUACCAUUGCUUUCUUGUGAUGGGGUCAUUUCAGCUGUAGCUACAGUUCUCAUAUUUUGGCUAUUGCUACUGCUUUCUAGCGAUGGUAUUUCGGUCGGACUGAGUUUUUGUUUCCUUCCCCAAGAAAACAGAGCUAUUCUUUCUUGUGUGUGGUGUGCAGCUUUUCUAAGUUUGCGAAGACUUUCUGCUACUUCUAACAUCUCAGGACGUUUGCUGAGUUCCAUCCCCAAGCAUUUACCUGCCAACUUUGCAGUCUCAUCGAUAGUCUUCAUGUCGCUCGAUGUUGCAAUUUCAGGAUCAAACAUCUCCCUUACCCUCCUAAACCCUUUUGAAAGAGAAUGAAAAAAACUUUCAACCAAGUUAAUCUCCUCAUCCUCUGUUCUUGCUUUUUUUCUGGUUAUCAGUUCCAGGAGCACAACUCCAAAACUGUAAACAUCACUCUUUGUGCUGAGGCGACCACUCCGAGCAAACAGAGGGUCCAUGUAGCCUAUACUUCCUAUCACACUUUGAGUAUAUAGAGUAUUUUCACUGGUGACUAGUCUUGAUAUUCCAAAGUCUGAUAUUUUUGCUCCGAGUUUGUCAUCCAGAAGUAUAUUAGCAGGCUUGAUAUCACCAUGAAUUACCGGAGUAUUCAUGUAUGAAUGCAUAUAAUGCAAUGCUUCUGCACAUUCAGUGGCAAUUCUUAGCCGUGUAUCCAAAGCUAUUGGAAUGUUAUCAUGGUGAAGGAUGUUACUCAGAUUUCCUUUAGGAAUAUACUCCAUGAGCAACAUUUGGGCAUUUGCAUCUGAACAGUAGCCGACUAAUCUGACUACAUUCUUGUGAUUAAUUUCACGGUGGAUGAUGAACUCUUUGGCAAAAUUUUCUUUUUCAUUUUGGAUAAACUUCUUGACUGCAACCACACUUUCGUCCUCAAGGACUCCUUCAUAAACUUCUCCAAAGGCACCUCUACCGAGUACAGUCUUGUAGUUGUUGGUAAAUCUUCUUAUCUCAUCUUCUGUAAAACAUUUCAAAUUAUGAUUGCUCUGUGCAAUCCAUUUCGAUCUACGCUCUUCCUGGAUAUGUUGUGUUACUAUAUUUUUCGGAUGAUCCAUCUUUGGAAGUAGCAGGGAACCUAUUCAACGUUGGAAGACCAUUUGACCUAGAAAACAGUUUUGGUAAUGCUAAAAGUCAAAUUUAAUCCAACUUAUCAAUGAGGAGACAAAUAAACGAAGUACAUAAAAGUCCUUAAUUCCCUUGGAUUAAUCAUCAAUAAUAUGGCAGGGAUUUCAGAUGCCCAUUGGGCACUGGGCAACAUAUAUAAGAUAUAUAUGCUCCAUUAGAGUUCAUUUAGAAACAAAAAUACCUCCCCUAGCUGCGGAAGAUAACCAAUCUACUCCCUCCGUUCCAAAUUACUCGUCGCUGAUAUGGAUGUAUCUAGAAUUAAAAUACAUCUAGAUACAUCCAUACGUGAGACAAGUAAUUCGGAACGGAGGGAGUAGAUUGCUAUUAUGCUGUUUUAGAUAUUCACACAGCACUGCAGAGAAUCAUUUGCGUUUCUUCAUGAACUACGUCGCCAGAGGAAGUACUAUGUACGAGGGAGUAUAUUAAUAUUUAUUAUUCAGUUCUGCUCUGGAUUUUUAAUAGCAGCUUCAUGGCACGAUCUGAGUAGUUCUACAUAGAAGAAAUCUUUCGAACAUGAAGAAAACAGGUUGGCUUCGGCUAAACAAAGAAGUUAAGAAUUUAUGAUACAUAGUGCUAAUAUCUCAGGAAAAAAGCCCAGAGAGAAGUCGAAGAAAUGUGGUAAAGACAUGGAGAUGGGCAAGGUUGAACCAAACAUACCACUUGAGAAUGGAAGGCGUAACAUAGCACAAUCAAUGGAGCCUUCUCUUGUUAGUGGUAGCACAGAUCGCCAUGGAAUGGAUCUAGAAGAAGCACAGGUAGCGUAUAGCAACUAUAUUCUGUUACUCUAUUCAUGGACCGAUUGAUGGUCAACUCUCAGAACGUGGAAUGAGGUGGCCUUGUCCUUAUUGACAAGUUGUAUGUACCGAAUUAAAAAAAGAUAAUCAUGCCAAGGGCAUCUCCAGCAACCCGGUAGAGAUGGGCCAAUUUUACACAAAGUAACUUCCUCGCCAACAGACUGUUUUGGUAAGGCUGUCUUGUUACUAGAGCCGCCAACACUAUUUGAUUGUGGCACGGUAAUUGAUUCGUGCUGCUCUAUAAUGGACUAUGGACUUCAUCUUUGUGCCUGUAUGGGUGUUUACUGUACUAUAUACAUAAACUUGCACCUACUCAUUUGUAGUAUCAUCUAGCAACCCAAGUUGAACCCAUACACGUAAAAGGUCUAAAAAAGACUAGAUAUGUAUCAGGAUAAUCAUGCAAUGUGAAAAAGAAAAGCAAUAUGAAUCAUAUGAUGAUUUUGAGAGUGAAUCUCCAUGGUUCAUGCUGCUGCAUAAGAGCAUCUCCAGCUGCACCCCCAGAACGGCCUCCCCAGGCGUUUUUUUGCGCCGGCGCCAAAAAACGGCCCAGCCGCGCCCCAGGAGCCCGUUUUUCGCCGGCUUGGGCCGAAAUCAGCGCCGGCGGACCCAGGCCGAACCCGAUGCGCCGGGGGGCGCCGGGGCGAGUGUUUUGGCGCGAAACAGUUGCGGGCCCGCCGAGUCAGCGAGACGGCCGCUUCGUCGACCUUAUCGCCUCGGUUCCCGCGGGAAUCAAUGCGAAGGAUGCCGCGCUGCCGCGCCGGUCAGCCUCCAUUGAUGCCUCACGGGCGGCGCAGUGAAGACGCUGCCGACACCCGCUUCUACAGGCUUCUCGGCAUGUAGACGGCGGCGGCGACGGCUAGGCUUUUUAGUUCGUUUUUAAGUUAGUUCAUACAUGUUUUUAAGUUUUUGUACAAAUUUCGUCGAGAAAUGGCCGAGUUCAUGCAAAAGUCACCGAGUUUGCAAAAAAAUUAAGACGAACUUCGCCGAAUCCACGGCGACAGUGGGCGUGUGACUGAGAACGAACCGAACCCCAGGAGCCGAUCUAGCGCCGGCUCGCCCCCAGGCCGCUCUUUUUCGGCGCCCCAAGAGGCCGAACGGCUGGAGAUGCUCUAACUACAGAGCAGUACUACUGCAUGCUACAUGCUCCAACGGGACAACAUGUACUGCUAGUGAAGCUUCUAUAACUGAACUUUCGUACUGUAUAUGAAUAAUCAAAGCCGAUUGCUUUGGGACUCCCAAAAUGAGUAGAGUAUUCAGGACCAUAAACUAUUGCAGGCAACAGAAGGUAGAGGUGCUGCCGAUCGUGCUGUGGGUGACCUGUGGCGGAGGAGGUGGCGUCCGUCCGUCUCUCCAGCGGUGCUUUUCCUGUGCCCACUUCGUCCCCCCUCCGGGCGGGAGGCGGAGGCGGCUCGUUUGCCAGACGACAGAACUGGCCAUAAGAGCAACUUCAACGGACCGACCCAAAUGGACGCGUAUUUUAUUCGUAUUUUAUCCGUUUGGAUCGGCCGUCCACCCCGCCGUGCAGUGGCGAGUUCACCAGGCAGGCUUCGAUAGGCUUGAGCCUACCCUCCAAAUUCGUGGAAUUUUUUUUACUACUAGGCUUCAAAAUAUUUCUUAGGCCCAGCCCAGAAAAAAUGGUCCAGCAGGCAGCCCAUCUAAGAAUCGGCGACUGACCCAGCCUCCCGCACGCUCGCACGCGCACGAAGCACAUCAGGCGCACGAGCAGCGACCACCCAAUAACCUAGCCGCCGGCCGCCAGACGCCACCUCCUAGUCCGGCGCCGCCUCCCCGCCUCCUCGCCGUCGCUGCGUCCUCGCCGAGCGCCGCCUCCCCGCCCAACGCCGUCAUCAGCCGAGCGCCCGAGCCUGCACGAGGGACGGGGCCACGGGGGGAGCCGGGCUGCACCUGCCGGGGAGCUCGUCGCCCACGACGCCCAGGGCUCUCUGCAGGUCGCCGGAUCCGCCGACUCCCCACUGGACGCCGGACGCCUCUCUGCAGGUCGCCGGACGCCGGACACCAGAAUCCCGGUCCAGAGCAAUUCGAAAUAGGUUGGCUGUUGUCUCUGUCUGACUCUGUUUGAUUCUUCUUAGUUUAGUUGAUAGCAGUUGCUAGUUUAGUUAAUUCUAGUCAGUAUGUAGUUUGGAUCUAGUCAGUACUGGUUGUAGUAACAAUUAAUUCAUGAACUAAUUUAUGUCCUUGUUUAUUUUUUUAUAGAAAUGAAGAGAAAGAGGACUCUGCAUAGUUGGUUUGCAAGUAGUUCAAAUACACUUCCUAUUGUUCCUGAAUCCAAUGUUGCCCCAAUUAAUGUUAUUGUUCAGCCUACCCUCAUAGAGAACAUAAUCCCGGAUGAUCCAACAAAUGAGAGCACUAAUCCCUCGGUUGAUGAGAGCACUAAUCCCUCGGUUGAUGAGAGCACCAAUCCCACUUCAAAUGAGAGAACCAAUCCCCCAACCGAUGAGAGCACAAACCAACCAGCACCACCAACACAAUAUAUAUUAGAAUUUCAUCCAAGUCAGAUUUUUGGUGAUCCGGCGGAUCGAAUACCAAUAGAAGAUUAUACCCCUGAAAUUCGAAGUGAAGUGAGAAGAGCUUAUUUGUUGAAAGAGCGAAACAAAGCAAGUGGGCAUAAAUUUGAAGUCACAUUGGACGGUAAAAUUUGAAGAUCUUUUCAACCACAAUGGCUAGAUAGGUUUGAUUGGUUGGAAUAUAGUGUCGCAAAGGAGGCUACCUUUUGCUUCCCUUGUUUUCUUUUCAAGAAACCAUCACAGGCUGCUACAUUUGGAAAUGAUGUAUUUACCAUAGAUGGUUACAAACGCUGGAAAACAGCUUUGGCAAGUUUUCAAAAACAUGUUGGUGGUCCAUCUAGUUACCACAACAUUGCUAGAGGCUUGUGUGAUGAUUUCAAGAAUAAAAGGGCCAAUGUGGCUACCAAAUUCCGAGCACAUACUAAAGAAUCUGAAAUAAAAUAUAAAAUCCGUUUGACCGCAUCACUAGAGGCUCAAGGGGAAGCUUUUCAUGGACAUGAUGAGUCCUCCGAUUCCGUAAACAAAGGCAAUUUCAGGGAGUUCUUGGAUUGGUACAAAGACAAGAAUAAAGAUGUGAAAGAUGCAUUUGAAAAUGGGCAAGGUAAUGCACUUAUGAUAUGUUCACGGAUUCGAAAGGACCUUGCUACAUGUUGUGCUUUGGAGGUAACCAAAGUCAUCAAGAAUGAGCUUGGAGAUAAGAAUUUUGCGAUACUUGUUGACGAGGCUAGAGAUUGCUUAAUAAAGGAGCAAAUGGCAAUAAUUUUGAGGUAGUUCAAUGGUUUACAAAGGCUAAUUCUUUUAUUUUAUGUUGUUAUUUGUUUAUUUUCUUAUAACUUGUAGCUCUCCAAAUGUGCAGAUUUUUGGAUGAUAAUGGGGAGCUUCAGGAGAGAUUUCUUGCUAUUAAGCACAUCACAGAUUGCACAUCUGCCGGAAUUAAAGAAGCAUUGUUUCAUGUCUUAAAGUACCAUGGCUUGUCUAUUAAUAGGCUACGUGGACAGGGUUAUGAUGGGGCUUCAAACAUGAGAGGAGAAUUCAAUGGUUUGCAAAAGCUAAUUCGUGAUGAGAGUCCAUAUGCUUUCUAUGUUCACUGUUUUGCCCAUCAGUUGCAACUAGUGGUUGUCACAGUGGCUCAAUGUUGUCUGGUUAUUGCUGAUUUUUUCAACUCUCUUCCCUUGAUAGUGACUCAGGUGGGUUCAUCCUGCAAAAGAAAAGACGCAUUGCUUGCAAAGCAUCAAGAUGACUUGAUAGAGAUGAUGGAGAAUUGUAAGAUAUCAUCUGGAACUGGUUUACAUCAAGAAACUAACCUAGCUAGACCAGGAGCUACUCGUUGCGGCUCACAUCUUAGAACCUUGCUUCGUGUUUACACAAUGUGGAAUGCAGUGGUGGAUGUGCUUGCAAUUGUGAUUGAGGAUUCCCGGGAACACACUUCUCAAGGUGGAGCUUCAGGUUUGUUGGUACAGAUGGAAUGCUUCCAAUUUGUGUUCAUCAUGAUAUUCUUAAUAAACUUGUUGAACAUCACAAAUAUGCUAUCACAAGCUUUGCAAAGGAAGAAUCAAGAUGUUGUUGAAGCCAUGCGUUUGAUCUUGGAUGUGAAAGAAGCUUUGCAAACUAUGAGGGACAAUGGGUAUGAGCCAUUAUGCAAGCAAGCAAAACACUUUUGUGAGGAACAUGGCAUUGACGUGCCAAAUAUGGAUGAUCUUGUUGGAGCUAUGGGGCAAUCUGCUCGAAGCAAGAAUAAGGUGACUCGAGAUCAUUAUUUCAGGGUGAGCAUAUUCAGUGUUGCGAUUGAUGCAACUCUCACUGAGAUGAACCACCGAUUCAAUGAAGUUAACACCGAUUUAGUGGAUUGCAUGUCUUGUCUUAAUCCAGCUAACAACUUCUCAAAGUUUAAUGAUGAGAAACUUAUUCGGCUUGCUGAAAUUUAUGUUGAAGAUUUUACACAAGUUGAAUGGUUGUUGCUAAGAUACGAGCUUCCAACAUUCCUUACAAAUAUUAGGAGAAGUGAGGAAUUUGAUGGAUGUCCGGAUAUUUCUACUCUUGCUCGUUUGAUGGUUCAAACAAUGAAACAUAGAAAUUUCCAAUUGGUAUAUCGCCUUAUUGAGUUGACAUUGAUUCUUCCAGUGGCAACUUCGUCGGUCGAGCGAAUAUUUUCAGCAAUGAAGGUCAUCAAAACAGAUUUGCGCAAUAAGAUAUCAGACGAUUGGCUCAAUGAUUUAAUGGUAUGCUACUGUGAGAAAAGGAUGUUCAAAAGUAUUCCAGAUGAUCAAAUUAUGAUACGAUUUCAGAAAAAGAAAAAUCGCAAAGGACAUUUGCCUCCUGAGUAUGAUGUUAUUUCUUAGAGGUAUAUCUCUGUUUUAGUACUAGUGUCGAUAGUUAGUUGAGGGUACUUUACCAUAUCACUAACAUUUGUGCCAAUUUGGACAGAUGGCUUGCAGUUUGUCACUUGCAUUUUGGUGUGGAGGAGUUCUACAACUACAAUAUUGUUAGUAAGAAGCAACACCGGUAUCUUGUCUUUGCCUUAUUAUGGUUGAUUCUCUAGUACUUGAUGUAUUGGUGUGCAGAUGGUAUGAAACUUUGCUGUUGUUCAAUAAUGCUACUAGUAUUUGUCUUGAGAAUCAUGUCCAUUUGAGCACUGUUUGGCACAUAUUGUCUCUAUAAAUUGGUAAAACCAUUUUUCUUUCAAAAUUCCAGAAAAAAAUCAGUAAAUACUAAAUGCUUCCAGUAGUAGGCUGGGAAAUUUUGAGCUUAUUUGGCCAAGAGGAUUAGGAGAUAAUGGCCAUUUUAGUCACCUGAUUCAAAAUUUGGUUCAAAAUUUGAUAUUUUCUAAAAAAGCCAGAAAAAAUCUAGUAUAUAGUACGUGUUUCCAGUAUUAAUCUGGGAAACUUUCAGUUUAUUUCUACAAAAGGACUAGGAGAUAAGCAGCUUUUUCUUCAAAAGAGCGUUCGAUUUUCUCGGCUUAAACAUUGAGCCCACCCUCCGUUUUUCUCUAGAUUCGUCACUGCCGCCGUGUCCGCUUUUUCAUUUGCGUCGGCUGAUGCGCCCAACGCGGGCGGAACGCAUUUUUUGCAUGUCGCCGAACACGUAGCAGGCGGGGAGCUUGCAGCGAGGCAAGGCGGGCGCGGCGCGGCACGACGAGCAUCGGGCGCGAGCGUGAGCGAGACGCGAAGCCAGCGGCUGCAGCAACGAAGCUAGCUAGCUCGCGUGGGGCGCCAUGCACGGCCGGCACCCACCAUCCAGCAGAGCUAGCUGCUCGUGUGGAUGGCUCGUGUGAAUGCCCAUACUACACGUGGGUAUGCGUCAAGCAGGGAGGACGCGGGCAGGGAGUUCGCCGUCGCGCGGUGAGGCAAGGCCGGACAGGAACCGCGGGCGCCGCGAGGCUGCAGGGCGCGAGCUCCAGUGCUCCAACGGCGAGCAGACACGCACCCGUGUGCUCUCGUGCCCUCGUGCAGGGCGCGGUGGCCUGGCCUGCUCUCGUGCCCGCCCGUGUGCUCGAGGCCGUGCUCCGCCGCACCCGCUUCCCGCGUCCUGCCGGAAGCACCCGCUCGUCGCCUCCGCUCGUCCGCCUCGUGACUCGCCGCGCAUGCUCGCGACACCCGCACCUCGCCGCGGCUGCCGCCCCCGCUCGUGCGCCUCGCCGCUCGCCCCGCCGCCUCACGCGCCCCACAGCUCGCCUCCGGAGCCGCUGCUCUGCCCGUGCCCCGCUCGUGCGCGCCGCACCCCGCGAGCUCGCGCUGCUCUGCCCGUGCGGAACAACAUGCGCGCGGCCUAGCAGUCGACGGCGAUGAGCAGAAGGUGGUCGAGCGGGGCGGCGGGCGCAUCGGAGCAGUGCGCCUCGGCGUCGGCGCAGAGGAGGAGAGAGAUGGGGCGGGGAUGGGCCAGCGAAUAAAAUAAGAAAAGGAGGUCGCUGGGUGGGUGACAGGUGGGCUUGACCCGGACACAGAUGGACGAGGCGGGCGCAGAAAACGCACCCUUUGUGUCCGCCUCGGACCCAAAUACAACCCAAAUUUAAGACUAAAAUGGGUACGCGCAGACACAAAGCGGACGUAAAAUGGAAAUGGGUCUGCGCGUUGGGCGCUCGUUUUUGUCCGCGCAGAUGCAUACGGACGCAGGCGGACGUUUUGGGUACCCGCGUUGGAGUUGCUCUAACCUACCGCUAAUCAACAUUUCAGUAAAACUAGGUUCAGUAUAAUUCUUGGUGGUAAGCUUCAUCUAGAAUUGGGUUCUGCUAGUAUGUUCAGCAAUGCAGUUGUGCAUUGUGCUUGAAGACAACACUGAAGCCCUUUGCUCCGAAGACUUCUUUUGAUCAUUAUGAAAUGAAGUGCUCAUGAUUUAGAUGGGGUUGGUGAAGUUCAUAUAAUAGCUGUGGUUCUUUUAAAUACACGUGUGUCGUGUGGCUUCUGUGUUUGAGCUCUAGAGUUGUACUCCCUCUGUAAAGAAAUAUAGUGAUCUAGACGCUCUUAUACCCAAGCCACUAUAUCUCGAAAAGUUUACGCAACGACGUCUAACCACUUGGGUGAGUGCGACUUGUGAGCCUACCUAGUGUUGACACGUGCAUUAAAUGGGGGGCUGGGGUGUACAUUUGCAUGGUAACUGUAGGCUGCCAUUGAUUCGCAUUUUUUCGUGCGCACUUGGGGUGGAUCUUGCAAUUUUGGUGGCGGGCGGUGAUUUUCUUUGUCUGCAGCAGGUGGAGCUCGCAACAUGCAGCAAUGGGAUGGACUUUUUCUGAUGUGACCACGUGCAUGCGCCGACUGCUCAUGGGCUCUCUCGAUUGAUCUGGACACCGGUGCAUGCAGCGGUUUCCAGAAUUUUGUCUGUAGCAGUUUUUAGAUUUCUCUUCAUUCUUUCUUUCUCUAUCUUAAAAGAUCACAACCGACGUACGUGCCUAUAAAAACCUUCUCAUCGCACGAGUCUCUUCAAUCACGGUUGCGGGCAAUCAGUAUGUUCUCCCCUUUGCUCCUAAGACUUCUUUUGAUCAUCAUCACAUGAAGUGCUCAUGAUUUAGAUGGGGUUGGUGAAGUUCAUAUAGUAGCUGUAGUUCUUUGAAAUACACUUGUGUCGUGUGGCUUCAGUGUUUGGGCCUUUUGAGCUCUAGAGUUGUACUCCCUCCGUAAAGAAAUAUAGUGAUCUAGAUGCUUUUAUAUUUCACUACGGAGAGGGUACUGAUUAUAUUUUUGUGAAAGCAAUAUUCUUCAGGUGGAUGAACGUGGCCUGAAAAAGGAGCAGAUGCAUUAUGAGAUGCCGCGGCCAAGUACCAUGGCCUUGUACAGUUUGGUCGUUCCUCCAUGACUGCGUGCUCAAUCGCGAGGCAGCUGCACUCCCUUUUGUCGCUGAGAAGUAGGUCGGCACUGCAAAAAAUCAGUGUGCCUUCCUUGCUUUGUUUGUUCAAUACGCACGCGGUUGUGCCUUUUCAGCUCAAUGUCUGAACCAGCAACAUAGGCGCACCAUGCCUGUUGUGUUUGUUCAGUUUGCACUUUUGCCUUUUCAUCAGUUUAAAAAGGGAAAAGUAUAUUUUUCGUCCCCUAAUUUUCUCAAAAGUAUAGAAAUGGUUCCUCAACUCCAAAACCAGCAAAUCCUAGUCCCUCAACUUCUCAAACCGGAUGCUUUUCGUCCCUCGUACCGCUUCAAGUGGUUUUGUUGAUGAUGUGGCAUGGUUUUGGUUGGCAUUUUAUCGAACACCUGUCGUGCGUCCUGGCACAGUUUCGGACGGUGGUGGGCCGAACAUCAGGUAUAUGGCGUGCCUUUCAUCGACGCCGAGGCCAUGCCCAGCACCUCGCCUCGCGUCGUCGUGCCUCCGAUGAGCAGCUUUGUGCAGCAGACCGAGAAGGAGAAGCUGAGCAUGGCGUAGACCUCCAUUCCAGCCGCUCCUGCCCCUCCUCUUCCAAGCGCUGCCCCCUACCCUCACCGUGAGGUCGCAGUCCGUGGCCUCCUUCCUCGCCGCGUACAAGACCGGCCGUACUCUUCGCCGCCUAGUCGUCGUCCAACAGGCCAGCACCACCGAUCUCGGUUAAACCCCACCGCGCUGGGUGGAGUAGCUGAUGUACAGCACACGGGCUGCGGCAUGUCGCGAACUCGAGGGUCAUUGAUGUGCCCGGGGCGAGCGGAGGAUGUCCAUCGGCGACCUCGUGCAUGACCCUACCGUGGUGCUGCUGGACGAAUCCACGUCCGGGCUCGACUCCGGCACUCCGUCUCUGCGCUCCACACAGAUGACGUGCUCAAGGACAUGGACACCAUGCACAGCACACAAAUCAAUCAGGUGCUUCUCGAGUUCCGGGCAUACACGGCUGAGGCAGUGGCUCCUCUCCGGGCGAGAGUCAGGGUGUGCUGGAUGACGGUGGCUGCGAGCACGAAAACCCCACCAUCAACGACAGCCUCUGCUACGCCGGCAGGUCGCUUCGUGUGUUGCUUGUGUGCGUUUUUCAAUCCGGCGAAACUCCAUUUAAUACUAAGUAGCUAACUAACCUUUUUGUGAAUCGAUCCAGCUGCUCUACCUGUACACGCGUGUGUUGUCUUCCGGUGAAAACGGUUGGUGCCCAUUGCCGCGAGUCCUGUAGGAGUGACGACGGCGGCCAACCGUGGUGCUCUAACCUGUGUGACGUGGCGGUCAAACAUAUGUGACGUGGCUAGUUUUUGUCAAAACCAUGUCCACGUCAGCACAAAACCACUGUAAAGGGCACGAAGGAGUAAACUUAUCCGGUUUUAAAAGUUAAGGGACUGAGAUUUGCUGGUUUUAGAGUUGAGGGACCAUCUCUAUACUUUUGAAAUAGUUGAGGGACGAAAAAUAUACUUAUCCCGUUUAAAAACGUCUCUACCGCGGCACACGCGCACGUCGUUUCGACGGACACACAGCGCCGGGCUGCUGCCACCACGUUUCGCUAGGCGUGCCUCUGUUUUUAGCUCGAGAACAUAGUUCAUUGUUUAGUACCUGUAACUUUUCUUUUUGCGGUGCAGUAUUGUGGUUGGCUUAAUGAUUUUCUCACUGAGCUGCUUUUUGAGGUAAACUCAGUUGGAUGAGGUUUUUGUUUUCGACAAAGCUAAAAUCCUGCCGUUCGGAUUUUCGCUUUAGAUCCGAACGACCUUUGCAGCGUUAGAUUUUGAUCAAACGGCCGCGAUUCCACUCCCGCUUACUCCGCCGUGAUUUGAGUGUAGGAUGCGAAUUUUUCUCCGGGUCUCUCAAUUAGCCUGAUUAAUGAUCCUGGUAAUUCGGCCUCUUAAAAGACGUGAUUAAUGGGCCUCCUAAUUCCAUGCGUUCAAGGAGUUAAUUGGUCGUAAUUAAUGGACCUGCUGAUUUUAUGCGUGUGUUGCUAGUUACUACUCCCUCCGUUCCGAAUUACUUGUCUUGGAUUUAUCUAGAUACGGAGGUAUCUAGCACUAAAAUGAGUCUAGAUACAUCCGUAUCUAGACAAAUCCAAAACAAGUAAUUCGGAACAAAGGAAGUACUAUUUUUUAAGGCAAAAACAAAUGCGUGGGUGAUAGAAUUCGAACCCACAACCUCAUUAUUUUUAGAUGGUGAAAUUGGAGUAGCUAACCAACUAACCAAUCUAUUCCAUGUGCACAGUGCUAACUUUUUGUGUACAUGUAAACUAUGACCCGAAUUUGAGUAAUUUCUAAACGAGAAAAGGUAGCAAUAGCGCUCGAACUCGGAACCUGGACGUCUAUUAGGCAAAUGUGCCAUCCUUGCUGACCAACUGCACUACACUUUGUGUUAUGACUGACGCUAGGUGUUCUAUAUUCAUUACCACAAGUAGUCCACUACUCUGGUGCAGAUAUCACUUGCAAUUUUUUUCAAGAAAAAAAUUAGUAAAACUCGAGUUUUUCUCUGAAAAAAACUGUAACACUCGAAUUCAAGUACUUGCGGGAGGGAGAAAAAUAUUAUUCCCAUAUUGAGAUUCAAACUGUACUUACUGUAAAUGAAAUGAAGACUAGUAAGCUAUUUGACUUUUUUACCAUUCAAACCAUUUGUAUUAGUGUAAAAAUAUAUUUUACUAGGAUUUCCUCCUAGUGUUUUUCUCAUCAGCGUUGCCCAAUUCAUUCUCUUCGGAAUUUUGUAUUCAUUUUUUUGUAUCACAAUUUUUUCGUUGUUGUUAUCUUUCUAGAUCACAUCGCUCGUAUUUUGAUACGACAAAGCUAAAAUCUGACCGAUCAGAAAAUCAGAACAGAUGCGAACAAUGUGAAUCUCGUCAAUUUCUUGAUCGGACAGGGCUGGCGAUCUUGCGAUGAUUUUGUGUUGCACUUUCCCGACUUAACCACCGUAAUCCAGCACACAUUGAUUGACUUCCGUGCUAAUUGGAUCAUGACCGGCCCGCUCUCCCGAUGAAAUCGCACGCCAGGCCCAGCCGUCCCCUUCUUUUCUCUCUCUCUCAAAAAAUCUAGGUGCGAAAAAUAUAAGUGCUGGGUGUGGGAAUCGAACCUAGCAUGUGUUGUGCUUAUACACAUCACCCGUGCCAUCUCACCAACUGUUACUUAUCUCAAAAAUGGUAACAAGGUAUUUGAACCUUUUUCCUGCAAUAUGAGUAAAAAAAUGCAAAAAAAAAACUAGUUCUUUUCUUAGAUUUUUUACCAACUCAUAUCGAGUUGAUCACAUCGUGGUAAUUUUCACGCCCCGAUAACUUUUGUGUGGAUAUCAUGGUAACNNNNNNNNNNNNNNNNNNNNNNNNNNNNNNNNNNNNNNNNNNNNNNNNNNNNNNNNNNNNNNNNNNNNNNNNNNNNNNNNNNNNNNNNNNNNNNNNNNNNNNNNNNNNNNNNNNNNNNNNNNNNNNNNNNNNNNNNNNNNNNNNNNNNNNNNNNNNNNNNNNNNNNNNNNNNNNNNNNNNNNNNNNNNNNNNNNNNNNNNNNNNNNNNNNNNNNNNNNNNNNNNNNNNNNNNNNNNNNNNNNNNNNNNNNNNNNNNNNNNNNNNNNNNNNNNNNNNNNNNNNNNNNNNNNNNNNNNNNNNNNNNNNNNNNNNNNNNNNNNNNNNNNNNNNNNNNNNNNNNNNNNNNNNNNNNNNNNNNNNNNNNNNNNNNNNNNNNNNNNNNNNNNNNNNNNNNNNNNNNNNNNNNNNNNNNNNNNNNNNNNNNNNNNNNNNNNNNNNNNNNNNNNNNNNNNNNNNNNNNNNNNNNNNNNNNNNNNNNNNNNNNNNNNNNNNNNNNNNNNNNNNNNNNNNNNNNNNNNNNNNNNNNNNNNNNNNNNNNNNNNNNNNNNNNNNNNNNNNNNNNNNNNNNNNNNNNNNNNNNNNNNNNNNNNNNNNNNNNNNNNNNNNNNNNNNNNNNNNNNNNNNNNNNNNNNNNNNNNNNNNNNNNNNNNNNNNNNNNNNNNNNNNNNNNNNNNNNNNNNNNNNNNNNNNACUCACAUGUUGCAGACAUGAUAACUUAUGUACCUCAGUCCUGGUAACUUUGGCGACCCGGGGGGAGGAGUGGGUUGAUGAAAUAUACCCCCCUGGUAACUUUUUGUGUGAAUAGCAUGAUAACUCACACGUCGCAGACCUAAUAACUUAUGUGCCUCGGUCCUGGUAGCUUUGGGGGCGGGGGAUGAAGGGGUGAUGAAAUAUACGCAAGGUAACUCACACGUUGCAGACAUGAUAACUUAUAUACCUCAGUCCUGGUAACUUUGGCGACCGGGGAGGGGGGGGUGAUGAUACCCCCGGUAACUCACACACCACAAACCUGACAACUUUUGUACCCUAGUCUUAAUAACUUUGGACGGGUGUGGGAUGUGGGAAGGUGUUUAAAAACACCCCGGAGACUUUCGUGUAAAUAGCUUGGUACGUACGCACCUUAUAUGUGAUAACUUAUGCAUAAAUACCACGACAACUUUGAUCCGAGGUGGUGGGAGGGGAGAAAGUAGUUUGAAAACAUACCCCUCCCGAUAACUUCCGUACAAAUGUCAUGAUAACUUCCGAUGCUUUGACCUAUAACAGAUUUUAAAGUUUUGAAAUAUGUAGNNNNNNNNNNNNNNNNNNNNNNNNNNNNNNNNNNNNNNNNNNNNNNNNNNNNNNNNNNNNNNNNNNNNNNNNNNNNNNNNNNNNNNNNNNNNNNNNNNNNNNNNNNNNNNNNNNNNNNNNNNNNNNNNNNNNNNNNNNNNNNNNNNNGCAUGUGAAGAGAAGAUUACAAGAACUAUCUUUUAUGUCCCAGUAAUUUCUGUAUAAAUAACAUGAUAACUCGUGUAGCACACGCGUGGUAACUUUUGACCCGAAAUAAAAUAUUGUCGAAACAUACCAACAUGAGAUCUAGUUUCGAAGGUCUUGUCGCGACGAAUCUUUUACGUGAAAACAAUUUUUCAAUUAGACCAACGGUUUGAGCUACAAAAUAUUUUAAAUUUUCGCAUUAGGAAGAAUCUUUGAUGACAUCAUCAAUUUUGUUUUUUCUGCAUGUAUAUGAUUUUUACUCCCUCCGUUCCUAAAUAUUUGUAUUUUUAGGGAUUUUCAAUGAUUACCACGUACGGAUGUAUAUAGACAUAUUUUAGAGUGUAGAUUCACUCAUUUUGCUCCGUAUGUAGUCACUUGUUGAAAUCUCUUAAAAGACAAACAUUUAGGAACGGAGGGGGUAGCUGCUAAUUAACUGCUAAUGGACAGUGGGCACGCAUAGAAAAAAGAAAGAAAAUAAGAUGAAGCUAAUACAUGCAUGCAAGCUAGGAAGGAAUUGUGCGGACCUGUUGCUUAACUUCCGUACGUGUGGAAGUUAGCACAGUCCUUUUCUUUUUGUUUUAGAGAAAUCUCGUUGGAUGAGUUUUUUUUUUUUUGAGAAAAUCUCGUUGGAUGAGGUAGGCAGUAUAUACUCAAUGUUGGCAAAAGCCCACUCAUGACUAAGCCCAGACAUUCGAGCCCAUUGCCCACGUCUGCCUCUCUCGUCGUCCAGGUCGCCCUGUCUGCUCGAGCUCGAAGCCGCCGCACGCCGCCGCUGAAUGCCUAAAUCCCAAUCCCUCCCUCCGAGCUCCGACUGCUCCCGGCUCCACUCCGGAACUGCCGCGCCCACCUUGCCAGCAAACUCCCGCACCUCCAGCGACUAGCGCCGAUGUGGCAUCUCCCUGACCCCCUCCCCGCACCCCCUGCACCUUCUGCUCCAGCGCGGCAGCGCCUGGCAAGCUCUUCCACGCCGGCGUCGGUGGAGCUGAUACACGAGGCACGGAGGUGGAGGCGAGACGACUGGGAGAGCGUGCGUGGACUUCGUUCGGAGAGGUGGUCGCUUGGCGCUGCUCCUGCUCGACAGCUCAAGCAAGGUACACUGAACAAUCUAAUUCUUGGCUUGAUGUGCUCUAUUCAUCUGUAAUCUGUAGAAUUGAUGCUUAUUUCUGUUGAAUGAAACAAAUCGAUACGUAUUUCUGUUGUAAUUGCAGAAUUGAACAUGAAGAGGAACGGGACAGUCCCUUCUCCUGAAACAUAUUACAUGAGUCUAAACCAAACAUGAUUGCAUCUUCUUCAUUACUGUUUCUUCCCUGGCGAUAACUUAGGGGGGAAAAUCGUAUAUCUAAACAUUGCAGCUUAGACUUGCAGAGUUUAUAUUCCAAUAACAUGUAGGGCGGGUGAUCCGUUACAAACUUGCAAUGAAAACGUUAUUUUUCAAGAUAGCAGUUCUCGGCCAGAACCAGCUGAAAGGGGGUCCCGAAAAUAUAUGACACUUGAAUGCAACUGUGACCAAGCAACUUUCACUCACUAUGAUGUGCAAGUUUCUUGGUCAGGAGUCAGGACUUUGUGGAUUGCCUCAAUCUUCUGCACAACAUCGGACAUCGUAGGCCUCGAGUCAGCAAAUUGACUACAACAGUUUAUGGCGAGCUGCAGAAGUUGCACCAUGCUCUCCUCUUCCCCGGCCUUCUGCUCCUGUCCUAAGGGCUGGAGCUCCAUGUCGAAGACCUCCAUCGUCCACUCCUUGCGUACAACAGACCAUGCCCAUUGUGCCAAAUCUAAUCCCUCCUCAUUUUGUGUGCUCUUUGCUGGAUCCUUGCGAGUGAGAACCUCCAGCAUUAGGAUUCCGAAGCUGUACACGUCAGCUUUCUGGGAGACCGACCUAUUGUCGGUGACCUCAGGCGCACGGUAGCCGGAGGCAUUGGAAUACACGCCAAGUGGCAUCAGGCCGUGCUCCGACACACAUGCAUCGUGGGUGCCGGUGAGCAGGAUGUUGGAAGACUUGAUGUUGCCAUGGCAGCUCGAUGGUCCAGCCAAGUGGAUAGCCGCCACACCACGGGCAGCAGCUAGUGAGAUGGCUGACCGCUGCCCCCAGUCCAGGGGAGCUGUGCCAGGGAUUCGGUAACCUAGUAGAUUCACACAUCAUGAAUUAGUGAUGCACCAAAAACAUUAGAAAUCGUAGAAGGAAGUAGUAUAUGAUAGCGUUGUACAGUAUAUACAUUACCGUGGAGCAUUUUUGCAAGGCUACCCAUGCGGACCCUAUUGUACACUAGCAACUUCUCAUCCUCGCUAUAGUAAUACCACCGCAGUGGAGCAAUGUGUUUGUUCUGGAUGGCGCUAAUCAGCUUGACUUGCUGCUCAAAGUCCGCCUUCGGCAAGUCCACAUCCUUCAACCUCUUGGUCACCAGCUCAUAUCCACUCUCAAGUGACGUGCUGUAUGUUGUCCCGACUGUACCCAUGCCCAUAACUUCAGCUGAUCCCCGAAGCAGGUCUUCCAGCUCGAAAUACUGGUUUGUCGCUGUCGGCCUACCGAUAAAAGUUCCCAUGUAUCGGGUACUGCUACUGCUUUCCUGUGAUAGUUCCGCUUUGGAUGGAGCAACGGUUCCCGUUUGGGGUGCACUGCCAUUGCUUUCUUGUGAUGGUGUCGUUUCAGCUGGAGCUACAACUCCCACGUUUAGGGUACUGCUACUGCUUGUUUCGGCAGCCAUUUUAGUUGGGUCCCAAAUUCCCGUUUUUGGGUUACUGCCAUAGGUUUCUUGUGAAGGCGUUGUUUCAGCUGGAGGUACAGUUGUCAUGUUUCGGCCACCGCUACUGCUUUCCAGCGUUGGUGGUUUGGCUGGAGCUUGCUUAUUUUUCCUUACCCAAGAAAACAGUGGUAAUCUUUCUUGUACCUGAUCUGGAGCCUUCCUAAGUUUGCGAAGACGUUCUGCAACUUCUAACAUCUGAGGGCGUUUGUCGUGUUCCAUCCUCAAGCAUUUUCCUGCCAACUUGGCAAUCUCUUCGACAGCCUUCAUGUCUCUCGAUGUUGCAAUCUCAAGAUCAAACAUCUCCCUCACCCUCUUAAACCCUUUUGAAAGAGAUCGAAUGAAACUUUCAACCAAGCCAAUCUCCCCACCCUCUGUUCUUGCUUUUUUUUCUGGUUAUCAGUUCCAGGAGCACAACUCCAAAACUAUAAACAUCACUCUUCGCUGUGAGGCGAUCAUUUUGAGCAAACAGAGGGUCCAUGUAGCCUAUACUUCCUAUCACAUUUAGAGUAUAUAGAGUAUUUUCAGUGUUGACUAGUCUGGAUAUUCCAAAGUCUGAUAUUUUUGCACUGAGUCCAUCAUCCAGAAGUAUAUUAGCAGGCUUGAUAUCACCAUGAAUGACCUGAGUAUACAUUUGUGAGUGCAUAUAGCCCAAUGCUUCUGCACAUUCAAUGGCAAUUCUUAGCCGUGUAUCCAAAGCAAUGGGAAUACUAUCCCGAUGAAGGAUGUCACUCAGAUUUCCUUUAGGAAUAUACUCCAUGACCACCAUUAGGGCAUUUUCAUCUACACAGUAGCCGACUAGUCUGACUACAUUCUUGUGAUUGAUCUCACGGUGGACGGUCAACUCUUUGGCAAAAUUUUCUUUAACAUUGCAGAUAUACUUCUUGACUGCAACCAUUCUUUUGUCUUCAAGGACCCCUUCAUAAACUUCUCCAAAGCUACCUCUACCGAGUAAAGUCUUAUAGUUGUUGGUAAAUCUUUUUAUCUCAUCUUCUGUAAAACAUUUCACAUUAUGAUUGCUUCUUGCUAUCCAUUUUGAUCUAUGCUCUUCCUGGAUAAGUUGUGUUACUAUAUUUUCCGGAUGAUCCAUCUUUGGAAGUAGCAGGGAGCUUAUUCAACGUUGAAAGGUAAUGACCUGGAAAACAGUUUUCGUAGUGCUAAAAGUCAACUUUAAUCCAACAUAUAAAUGCAGAACCUAAUAAACAAAGUAAGAGUGCUUAAUUUCAUUAGAUUAGUUAUCCCAGUGCAUCAUGCAAGCAAUGUAACCGAACUUUCCCAGGCCUUGUGCCUGUUUUGGAAAUAUAAGGUAGGCUUUUGAGCCACCUUCUCAUUUUCAAAAAAAAAAAAAAUCAUUAGAUUAAUUAUCAAUGAAUUUGUAGGGAUUUCAGAUGACCAUUGGAGUUCAUUCAGAAAAAAAACAUCUCCUCUAGCUGCCUGAGAUAACCAAUCAAGAUUGCUAUUUACUGCAGAGAAUCAUUUGUGUUUGUUCAUGGAAGUACAGCGUAGGAGAGUAUAAUUAAUAUUUAUUGUUCACGCCAUGAACGAGGUACGAUCUGGGAAACUCUACGUAAUUGCUUGCUUAUAGGUAAAGUGAAACAAUGAUUUGAGCAUGAAGAAAUGAGGCUGGAAUCGACUUUAAGAAGUGAAGUGUUUAAAAUCAAAAUUUGUAAUCUCUCGGGAAAGAACCAGAGUGAAGCCUUAAGGCAUAGAGAUGAGCAUGGUGCCACGGUUGAACCAAACAUACCAAUUAAGAAUGGGCGCCGUACCUUAGCACAAUCGAUGGAGCUUUGUUUUGUUAGUGAUCGCCCAGAUCGCCAUGGAGUGGAUCUAGAAGAGAACGGAUAGCGUAUAGCUAAGAACAGACUGCCAUCAUCAAUGGCCAACUGUAGUACUAGCAUGAAGAGGAGGUGUCUUUAUCUGUGGAGGUUGGGAUCCUUAAUGACACCAGCUAC
rnacentral:lncRNA from 1 species